rnacentral:snoRNA from 1 species
UUCCCUGAUGAUCAACAACCUUUCACUUUAUUCUGGUACCUCUUAUGUUAGAGCCCUUCCGGGUUCAAUGAAUGAACUGGACUUCUGAUU